CGGCUAACUUUGGUUGGUCGCCGGCUUCUUAGAGAGACUAUCAACUCAAGUUGAUGGAAGUUUGAGGCAAUAACAGGUCUGUGAUGCCCUUAGAUGUUCUGGGCCGCACGCGCGCUACACUGACAGAGCCAACGAGUUCUUCACCUUGUUCGAAAGAAUUGGGUAAUCUUGUUAAACUCUGUCGUGCUGGGGAUAAAGCAUUGCAAUUAUUGCUUUUCAACGAGGAAUGCCUAGUAAGCGCGUGUCAUCAGCAUGCGUUGAUUACGUCCCUGACCUUUGUACACACCGCCCGUCGCUACUACCGAUUGAAUGGCUC
rnacentral:rRNA from 1 species